rnacentral:misc_RNA from 1 species
GGCUCAGCUUAUAGAGGCUGCUGUUUAUUCAUUGUUGACAAUGAAUUUGUAGAAAUAACCGUGGCGCUACGUUUGUGAUCUAAUAUCUUUGGAGAAAACGCACAGAUGAUGCAAGUACGAAGCAGCAGUCACCACCAUCUUCAGUUGUGUUUCAUUCGCAGAGAAUACAAGAAGCUGUUACUGCGAGCUACGUGAAGGUAACAGUCACAUGUACGCAGAGGCUAUGUGCGUGGCGCUGUUGCUAGGGGCAACAUGCAGUCCCGUGCAAGCAGUUACAAACAGUGAAACACCCUCCACUAACGACAACACCGAGAAGUUACGAACUGUAAUAGCAAUAGAUUUUGGAACAGACUAUACCUGUGUAGCUGUGGGUGAGAACGAUCAUGUUGAGAUCAUCCCCAAUGAACAGGGGAACAGGGUAACCCCCUCGUAUGUAGCGUUCACCCCGGAUGGGGAGAUACUGAUCGGACACGCCGCUAAGAACCAAAUGACCACAAACCCCGAGAACACCAUCUUCGACGUCAAACGUCUGAUUGGUCGCACAUGGGAUGAUCCGUCCGUGCAGCGCAAUAUACAACGAUAUCCUUUCAAGGUAAUAAACAAGGAAAACAAGCCGUACAUAGAAGUAAGAGUUGGCUCAGAGGGCAAAGUGUUCGCUCCCGAGGAGAUCGCAGCGAUGGUGUUGUCGAAGAUGAAGGAGAUAGCAGAGAACUACCUUGGAGAAAACGUCACCCACGCCAUCGUCACCGUCCCUGCCUUCUUCAACGACGCCCAAAGAAUGGCAACCAAAGACGCUGGCACCAUGGCUGGGAUGAACAUUCUACGUGUUAGCAACGAACCAUCUGCUGCCUCUAUAGCGUACGGCCUUGACAAGUUAGAUGGAGAAAAGAACGUACUGGUGUUUGACUUGGGAGGGGGAACGAUUGAAGGGUCAAUCCUAACCAUCGACAAUGGCGUUAUCGAGUUGGUGGCCACCAAUGGCGACACGCAUCGAGGUGGUCAAUACAUCGACCAGAGACUGAUAGAGUACUUUAUCAAACAAUACAAGACGAGGACGGGGCAGGACCUACUGGAGGACAGCGGGGCCAUCCAGAAACUGCGUCGUGAGGUGGAGAAGGCGAAGAGAGCCCUGUCAUCCCAGCAUCAGACUCGGGUGGAGAUCGAGUCUCUUAUGGGCGGCCAUGAUUUCUCCGAACACCUCACUAGAGCUAAGCUGGAGGAACUGUACGUAGACCUGUUUGAAUCAACUUUAAACUACAUGCAGUCCGCUUUAGAAGAGGAAUACUUGAACAAGACGGACAUCCACGAGAUUGUUCUGGUCGGAGCAGCAAGUGAGAUACCCAAGGUUCAGCAACUGGCCAUGGAAUUCUUUGAUGGGAAGGCACCAAAGAAAGGCAUUCACCCGGAAGAGACAGUAGCCUACGGAGCAGCCCUUGUUGCAGCAUUUUAUGCUACCUACGACGAGACCAAGGAUGAAUGUUUUGAUAUCAUAGAAAUCAAUCACUUGAGUCUCGGCAUCGAGACCAUUGGAGGCGUCAUGUCAAAGAUCAUCAGUCGGAACACAGUCACUCCUACCAAGAAGACACAGCAGUUCACAACAAUAGAGGACGACCAGGAUGUGAUGGAGGUCCUUGUCUAUGAAGGCGAGAGAGCCAUGACGAAGGACAACCAUAUCCUCGGGAAGUUUGAACUCAAAGGAAUUCCUCCAGCGGCGAGAGGGGACCCCCAGAUCGAUGUUACAUUUGAGAUAGACGUGAAUGGUAUAUUGACGGUCACGGCCGAGGACGUAGAGACGGGAAAUAAGAAUAGCAUUGCCAUUCAGGACCUCCACGGAGAUGCACUCUCGCCUGAAGAUCUGGAGAAGAUGAUUCACGAUGCUGAGGAGUUUGCUGAGGAAGACAAAGAGAUGACGGAGAAAACGGAAGCUGAACUUAGAGCCGGGGAUAAAUGGACGAACAGAAAGGCUGUGAGAAGGAAACCCAUCAUAUCAGGUGACCCGGAGGAUGUUUCCCGUGACGAACUCUGAGGGAGGAAUUGGAACAAGGAGAUGAAAGAAUGAUGCUGGAAACUAAAGAUGCAUGGAUUGAGGAAGGACACACUACAACGAUAAUGGAUGGUUGAGAGUUUUAUCUAUAUCCCUAGCUCUGUACCGACGACAUAUGCUAUGCAUAAUGCGAAGGUGAGAGAUAGCUCAGUUGAUAUAUGUGUAUGUGUUGUAUGAGGCCAUUCGUCACCACUCGGCCCUUUCCGUAACCUCCAGGACGCUGUUCGGCUUGUCCCGGAAUAACACGAGUUGGUCACGAAUGGUAUGGGGCUUCCCAUUAAUGAAACACUUUCUCAGUCCUGCCCGUCAAACGAAUCAUCAUGUUUGUCCAGGAGAAGAGUUUAUCUAUACAUUUUUUGUACAUUCAUUUGUGUAUUUAGAUUUUGGUAUACAGGUGUAGACAAUACAAGGAGUGUAUAUGUACAUGUGUGUAAUAUAGAAAAUAAAAUAUUUCUUCAUUUACACCUGGACAUGUGUGAUAUAUAAAUAACGAAGAGUACACAAACACGUGUGUGAUGUGGGAAAUAGAAACUUUGUACAUUUACAAGUGUAUGAUGUAGAACAUAUAUGAUUUGUACAUUUACACGUGUGUGAUGUAGAAAAUAUAUGAUUUGUACAUUUACAAGUGUGUGAUGUAGAAAAUAAAAGAUAUGUGCAUUUAAACGUGUGUUAUGUAGAAAAUAUAUGAUUUGUACAUUUACAAGUGUAUGAUGUAGAACCUAUAUGAUUUGUAAAUUUACACGUGUGUGAUGUAGAAAAUAUAUGAGUGUGUACAUUUACAAGUGUGUCAGGAACAAAAUAAAAGAUUUAUAAAUGUA